AACCAGUGAGCGCUCAGCUCCUCUGCUGCAUCCGCCAAUGGAAGCGGGCAACGCAUCUCCAUGGCAAUGGCCUGGCGCUGAGGGCCCGGGCCCUGCUACCCCAUGUACCUGCUGCUUGGGGCCUCGGGCGUGGGCAAGACCCUGCUGGUGAAGCGGCUGCAGAAGCUGUGCUCCAAGGAUGGGUCCCGAGAGCUUGGGGAGCCUCCCCCCACACUGCCCACGGUGGGCACAAAUCUAACUGACCUUCUGAUCCAGAAGAAGAUCACGAUUCGGGAGCUGGGGGGCUGCAUGGGCCCUAUCUGGCCUAGUUACUAUGGAGACUGCAGCUCUGUCCUGUUCAUGAUUGAUGCAGCUAACCCCACCCAGAUCUCUUCAUCCUGCGUCCAGCUCCUGUCACUCCUCUCCGCAGAGCAGCUUGCCUCGGCAUCCGUCCUGAUCCUGUUCAAUAAGAUUGACCUGCCCUGCUACAUGUCCCUGGUGGAGAUGAAAUCACUGUUCCGGAUUCAAGAUAUCAUUUCCUGUGCUAACCAGCCUAUCACUGUGGUGGAGACCAGCGCCCGUGAUGGCACAGGGCUGCCCGACGUGCUGCAAUGGCUUCGUUCCACUCUCAGGGAUCCCAGCUGAAUUUGCUGUGUCCAACUUUGGUGUUUCCUUCCAGCUGACGGGGGCUGACUCUGACUCCAGGCAGCUCACACCUACUCUGUGACCAAGACUAGGAUCCAGGAGCAGGAGAGAGGACAACUUGAUCAUGAUGCAUCUUUCAUGGCGCCCUUUACAUGAGAGGGCGGUGCCAUAGAAGCGUUGGAGAUCAGCACCACCCUGGGCAUCAUCGUAGAAGCAGCAAGUGAUAACUGAGGCUGAAAAGGUGAACUCAGUGGCAUGCAGCGCAUGAGGUCCCUCCGGUGAUUCAUUCCACAGUUGCACAUUAAAGCUCUGCAGGAAGCUUGU